rnacentral:lncRNA from 1 species
CAACAGAUUUUGCUUUCUUAUCCCAUUGAUUUAAGACUUUUAUUUGGAAGAACAGAGAACAUUUUUGUAAAGCAGCCUUUAGUUCCUUCUGUAAGCAUAUAAAAUUAUUGAAUGAAUAAAAGUGAGGAGCAAAUGACUGAAUAACUCUCUCAUUUAUCUUACAGUUGCUGAGCAUUGGUUAUGGCAGCAUAAUGUUUGAACAUCAUUACCUGCCAAGUCCAUCAAAACACUGUGCUGAUUUCCUUGUUUUUGUUGGUAAAACUCAGAAGAACCAUUCAAGGCCAAUGCUAUCAGAUUGUUAACCAUGUAGAUUCUAGAAGGAGAAAGACUUGGAAACAAACAGCUUCAAUAUAACAGCAGAUGCUGUUAUAGAAUUAUAGAAGAAAAGUCAAGGUGCUGUAGAAAUCAGAGGAUAUGGUUGAUUUUAAGGCAAGUGGGAGGGAAAACUUUGGAAAGGAAGUGACCUUUCAAAUAGAUAUUGAUGAAUGAAUGUGGUUUUCAAUUGGUGGAAAAAAGGUGAGGCAGUCUGGGCUGAGAGAACAUCAAGAGAAUGGAAGCUUGAAACUAUGAUCAAAUCUGAUGAGCUUUAGGAAUAGUGAGGACACUAAGGGAGUAAAAUAUGGUGUAAUUUAGUAGGAAAUGAAGCUCUUCAGUUUUCAGGAGCAAAUCAUGGUCACGUCAGUGUGAAAUUUUAUUGGUUAGUUAAUGGGAAUCACUAAAGAUGUCUUUUAAAACUUAGAAAACAGUGACAUGAUCUAGUCUGUGUUUUCUAGAAACCAGAUAUUACUUUAUUCCUGUAGGAUUCCACUGGAGAUGUACUUUGAAGUAUUAAACAAUUUAACCCCAUCCUUAUAGGGUAGACAUUUUAAUCAGUGAAAGAAUGUGUUAGCUUUAUAUUACUGCGACAAAAUACCUGAGAAAAUCAACUUAAAGCAGGAAAGAUUUAUUUUGGCUCACAGUUUCAGAGACUUCAGUCCAUGGUAAGCUGACUCCAUUGCUUUUAGGCCUUUUGGAGAGGUAGAACAUCAUGGUAGGAGCUGUGGUGGAGCAAAACUGCUCACCUCAUCAGGGUGGCCAGGAAAUAGAGAGAGGAAAUGAGGAGGGGGCCUGAGACAAAAUAAGUCUUCAAAGGCUUCCAGUGUCCUACUUUCUCCAACUAGGCUAUAUCCCUUGAAGUUUCUACCACCUCUCAUUACCACCACCAGCUAUGGAAGAAGCAUUUAACACAUGAGCCUUUGGGGGGCAUUAUAGAUCCAAACUAUAGCCAAGAUGUGCUAUAUCUAAAAUGAAUUCAACACUAACAUUGAAAACACUAACAUUUCUAAAACAGAAAAAAAAAAAUACCCAAGGUUUAAUCCCCAGCACCAACCACCAAAGAAAUAAACAACAACAAAAAAUUGAUCAUAUCGUUCUUCACCUUAAAAAUACUUUAUAAGAAUGUACAAUAAGAUCUAGACUUUGUUUUAUUUCAUUAUAAAUGGACUUUUCUCAUUUUUGAGACAAAAAUUUACCUGUCCUACAGAGUUGUUAUGAAGUGGCUCACGUGAAACACCUCAUACAUUGUCUACAUGGAUGAUAGGCUCUCAACUCAUGAUUAUUAUCAUUUUAUUAUUUUGUCUCUGUUCUCUCUCACUAGUCCUAACUACACCCUCAAUACUAUUUUUCUGACCGAAUUUGUAGCUCUCUGUAAUUUGGUCAUCAAUUUUAAUGCCUAGUGCAUAGUAGGUAUGUAAUAAAUGUGUCUUUAAUGAAUUGAUAAAUUAUGUUAACUUUCUAAAAUCAUUUUUAAGCUCAUGUACUCCAGAUAAAUACAAAUAAUCUUUGGAAUUGCACUGUAAAUUUCACAUAAUUGGGACUUUAACAGAAUUUCAGAAGUUUUCUUUUAUUGCAAGUCCUUCCUUUUGAAAUUAUUUACUCAGCACAACUUAUGUAAGAAAUAAGGAUUCUUUAGAAUGUACCUGAAAACUACAGACAUAUUUUGAAAUUACCCAUUCCAAAUGCUUAAAUAGAUAUUGUUUAAAAUUACAGACAGCAUACCACUCAUCCCAUCAGUGAAUAAGUGAAGGAGUCCCUAACAGGAUCUGAUAGUUGACUGGAGAGGUGAUUAUGACAAUGGCUAAGGUCUCCCGGACCCUUGAACUUUUUCCCUGCUUAAAAAAGCAGUCUUGACUUUUUCUAAGUUCUAUGCGUUCAUUUUUAAACU